rnacentral:rRNA from 1 species
GUCAGUGCCGAUAGCGGCGAGGGUCCACCCGUUCCCAUUCCGAACACGGCAGUUAAGCUCGCUUGCGCCGAAGAUACUUGGCCGGAGACAGCCCGGGAAAAUAGGUAGACGCUGACA